rnacentral:rRNA from 1 species
UACGUAGGGUGCGAGCGUUAAUCGGAAUUACUGGGCGUAAAGCGCGCGUAGGCGGCUUUGCAAGUCGGGUGUGAAAUCCCCAGGCUUAACCUGGGAACUGCAUUCGAGACUGCAUUGCUAGAGUAUGGGAGAGGGAAGUGGAAUUUCCGGUGUAGCGGUGAAAUGCGUAGAUAUCGGAAGGAACAUCAGUGGCGAAAGCGACUUCCUGGACCAAUACUGACGCUCAGGUGCGAAAGCGUGGGGAGCAAACAGG